rnacentral:ncRNA from 2 species
AUAGUCAUGCAGGAAAAAGGUGCUGAUUCGUCAGCGUAACAGGGAAUCCGGUGAAAAUCCGGAGCUGUUUCCGCAACUGUAAGUGCGUAUGAAACAAGGAAUGCCACUGAUCGAUGAAUGUCGAUUGGGAAGGCCCUUGGAGUAAAAUGAUGCACAAGCCAGGAGACCUACCUUUUUCUGAACGUAUUU